GACGAACGCUGGCGGCGUGCCUAAUACAUGCAAGUCGAGCGAAGUUUUUCUGGUGCUUGCACUAGAAAAACUUAGCGGCGAACGGGUGAGUAACACGUAAAGAACCUGCCUCAUAGACUGGGACAACUAUUGGAAACGAUAGCUAAUACCGGAUAACAGUAUUUCUCGCAUGAGAGAUAUUUAAAAGUUGGUUAUGCUAACACUAUGAGAUGGCUCUGCGGUGCAUUAGCUAGUUGGUGGGGUAAAGGCCCACCAAGGCGACGAUGCAUAGCCGACCUGAGAGGGUGAUCGGCCACACUGGGACUGAGACACGGCCCAGACUCCUACGGGAGGCAGCAGUAGGGAAUCUUCCGCAAUGGGCGAAAGCCUGACGGAGCAACGCCGCGUGAGUGAAGAAGGAUUUCGGUUCGUAAAGCUCUGUUGUUAGGGAAGAAUGGAUAUGUAGUAACUAUACAUGUAAGAGACGGUACCUAACCAGAAAGCCACGGCUAACUACGUGCCAGCAGCCGCGGUAAUACGUAGGUGGCAAGCGUUGUCCGGAAUUAUUGGGCGUAAAGCGCGCGCAGGUGGUUUAAUAAGUCUGAUGUGAAAGCCCACGGCUCAACCGUGGAGGGUCAUUGGAAACUGUUAAACUUGAGUGCAGGAGAGAAAAGUGGAAUUCCUAGUGUAGCGGUGAAAUGCGUAGAGAUUAGGAGGAACACCAGUGGCGAAGGCGGCUUUUUGGCCUGUAACUGACACUGAGGCGCGAAAGCGUGGGGAGCAAACAGG
rnacentral:rRNA from 1 species